rnacentral:lncRNA from 1 species
UGCUGGAGCAGUGCUGUGACUGUGUGCCCUCUUGUAACUUCAGUCAAUCCAAAUUGGGUGCUUACAUGUAAACAAUUUUCUAGAACUCUGCUGUUGCCACAGAUGGGAGAUAGUGGAUUGAAUGAUUUUGACUUAAACUUGAGCUGACUUUUCAAAAGUUAAAGAAAAUAUAUUGAACAAAACUGAGCAGAGGGAUUGUGACUAGUCCAAUUUAGACUCACACUGUUUUUUUUAUUUUUAACAAAUUUAAACAGGAACAUUGGCUUUGAAAACAGGUGACUUGUGAGCUGAAUUACAUUUAAGUGAAAGUACUGCCAUGUCCUGACUUACCUACUGAGUGUAAUGAGCUUCAUAUUCUUUGGCCUUAUUUCAUCAAUAUUUUCCCUCAGAGAUCUUCAGCUUGGAGAUGUUUCAUGAAUUAGGCUGGAAGAGCUAGCCAGGAUCCUUUGGAAAAGCUAAUGGCCAGUCUGAGAAGCCCUGUGUAUGAUGAAUUAGCUCAAGAAACUCAGAUCACUGUGAAGAUAAGUCACGGUGUCUGAUCACGUUAAAAGCAUGAAGACCAGUGACAAGGCUCACCUCGAAGUGGAGGAGAUGUGAGGAAAGGAGUCCUGAAUGAUUCUGCUCAACCAUGGUUCCAUCCCUGUGCUCCCACCAAAAUUUAUCGGACUACCUCUCCAAGGAUCUCCUGCUGCUCUAUGCAUUCCAGUUGGACUGGUUCUUCAGGAGAGCUGCAAUUGCUGUAUUGUCUGUUGAUGAACAAAGGAAAUAUAAAACAUCAAAGAAGCAUUCCACAUUCAUUUAGUGCCUUAUUCUUUCUAUUCUAAAGAGAAGUUCUUUAGUUUAAGAAACUGGCAGCACUACAGAACAGGAGAGAGAAAACUCACAAAACUGUAGUCUGUGUUGGAAAUCUCCCAUGUAGGAACUGACCCAUGGAUUUUGGAUUUCUGUUCAACCUUUGACUGUAAGGAAGGAGGUAAGGCAACAUGAUGGCUUUUUAUUUUCUUCUUCUUUUGCUGUUCUUUCCUUCCAAGCAUUUCUUCAAGGCUGAGAUCC